rnacentral:rRNA from 1 species
UAAUACCGGAUAGGAGCUCCUGCUGCAUGGUGGGGGUUGGAAAGUUUCGGCGGUUGGGGAUGGACUCGCGGCUUAUCAGCUUGUUGGUGGGGUAGUGGCUUACCAAGGCUUUGACGGGUAGCCGGCCUGAGAGGGUGACCGGCCACAUUGGGACUGAGAUACGGCCCAGACUCCUACGGGAGGCAGCAGUGGGGAAUCUUGGACAAUGGGCGCAAGCCUGAUCCAGCCAUGCCGCGUGAGUGAAGAAGGCCCUAGGGUUGUAAAGCUCUUUCAGAUGUGAGGAUGAUGACAGUAGCAUCAGAAGAAGCACCGGCUAACUUCGUGCCAGCAGCCGCGGUAAUAC